rnacentral:rRNA from 1 species
AGAGUUUGAUCAUGGCUCAGGACGAACGCUGGCGGCGUGCCUAAUACAUGCAAGUCGAACGAACUCUGGUAUUGAUUGGUGCUUGCAUCAUGAUUUACAUUUGAGUGAGUGGCGAACUGGUGAGUAACACGUGGGAAACCUGCCCAGAAGCGGGGGAUAACACCUGGAAACAGAUGCUAAUACCGCAUAACAACUUGGACCGCAUGGUCCAAGUUUGAAAGAUGGCUUCGGCUAUCACUUUUGGAUGGUCCCGCGGCGUAUUAGCUAGAUGGUGGGGUAACGGCUCACCAUGGCAAUGAUACGUAGCCGACCCGAGAGGGUAAUCGGCCACAUUGGGACUGAGACACGGCCCAAACUCCUACGGGAGGCAGCAGUAGGGAAUCUUCCACAAUGGACGAAAGUCUGAUGGAGCAACGCCGCGUGAGUGAAGAAGGGUUUCGGCUCGUAAAACUCUGUUGUUAAAGAAGAACAUAUCUGAGAGUAACUGUUCAGGUAUUGACGGUAUUUAACCAGAAAGCCACGGCUAACUACGUGCCAGCAGCCGCGGUAAUACGUAGGUGGCAAGCGUUGUCCGGAUUUAUUGGGCGUAAAGCGAGCGCAGGCGGUUUUUUAAGUCUGAUGUGAAAGCCUUCGG